CCUACGGGAGGCAGCAGUGGGGAAUAUUGGGCAAUGGGCGCAAGCCUGACCCAGCAACGCCGCGUGAAGGAAGAAGGCUUUAGGGUUGUAAACUUCUUGUAAGAGGGAAGAGCAGAAGACGGUACCUCUGGAAUAAGCAACGGCUAACUACGAGCCAGCAGCCGCGGUAAUACGUAGGUGGCAAGCGUUGUCCGGAUUUACUGGGUGUAAAGGGAGUGUAACCGGGCUGACAAGUCAGAUGUGAAAUUCCGGGGCUCAACCCCGGACCUGCAUUUGAAACUGUUGGUCUUGAGUAUCGGAGCGGCCGGCGGACUUCCUAGUGUAGCGGUGACAUGCGUCGAUAUUAGGAGGAACACCAGUGGCGAAGGCGGCCUUCUGGACGACACCUGACGGUGAGGCGCGAAAGCGUGGGGAGCAAACAGGAUUAGAUACCCCUGUAGUC
rnacentral:rRNA from 1 species